CCCUUUAUAGCUCAGUCGGUAAAGAAUCUGCCUGCAAUGCAGGAGACCCAGGUUUGAUUCCUGGGUUGGGA
rnacentral:tRNA from 1 species